rnacentral:misc_RNA from 1 species
UUUCCGUAGGUGAACCUGCGGAAGGAUCAUUAACGAAUAACUAUGGUGUCUUGGUUGUAGCUGGCUCCUCGGAGCAGUGUGCACGCCCGCCAUUUUUAUCUUUCCACCUGUGCACCGACUGUAGGUCUGGAUGACUCUCGUACUCCGGUGCGGAUGCGAGGAUUGCUCUCGGGCUCUCCUCGAAUUUCCAGACUCUACGUCUUUUUACACACCCCAAACGUAUGAUACAGAAUGUAGUCAAUGGGCUUGAUCGCCUAUAAAACACUAUACAACUUUCAGCAACGGAUCUCUUGGCUCUC